UAACACGUAAGCAACCUGCCUAUUAGAGGGGAAUAACAGUGAGAAAUCAUUGCUAAUACCGCAUAUGCCAUAAAGACCACAUGGUCUUAGUGGGAAAGGAGAAAUCCGCUAAUAGAUGGGCUUGCGUCUGAUUAGCUAGUUGGUGGGGUAAAGGCCUACCAAGGCGACGAUCAGUAGCCGAACUGAGAGGUUGAACGGCCACAUUGGGACUGAGAUACGGCCCAGACUCCUACGGGAGGCAGCAG
rnacentral:rRNA from 1 species